CAUCAUCUUCAGCUCAAACCCUUGAAUUCUACAGCAUCUCAGUUUCAAUCCCUUUCAACUUCAUUACAGACCAACCCAUUCUUCCUUACAUUAUCAAGAUUCAAAAGCCAUUCAAUUCAUAAUCCAAAAUCAAGCCCUAAUUCUAAAUCUCCACAGCCUUAUCAAAAUAUAAGAUAAAUCAGCAACCACAACCAUCAUCCUCGAAUGCAGAGAACCCUAAUUCUAAUUCGGGAAGAACGGAAAGGAUCAAUGGAAUCCCUAAUUUGAUUUCAAACUUCAAUCUAACCCAUUUCUCUAUCACUUACACAUCCAUCUCCAGAACCCAUUCCAUAUCUGCUGACCCUAACUUCUAAUUUCUUCACAUAAACCAGAAACAACAGAUUCAUCAUCUCUUCUUUCAUUAGGUGAUUGAUAAAAAUUCAACAAAUUUCUUCACCGAUUCCCCGAUCUCGUUUCUUGUUCUCGACAAGCAUUAAAACUCAUCAAUUCAUCUGUGUUCUUCCUCACUAGAAUAGUCUCACAAAACUGCGCCUCCAUUUCUCACCUCUCUGAAAUUUAGGUGUGAUGUAACGAUAGAGAAAUUCCCGAUCUAGUUUUAGGGUUGAUCAUAAGGAGACGUUAAAGGCACCCGUUUAGAUGGAUAAAAGCUAUCGUUCUAGGGAUUGUUUUGUGAAUACACAAUUAUUUAGGGGUGCAUGAAAAAAUAAACCAAGUCAAAUAGUUAGACACAUCAUCAUGUAACGAGUCAACGCGGGUCAACGUUGGUCUUUAGACCAAACGCAAAGGAUGGAAAAAUGUUAGACCAAACCCAGGUUUUGGUCAAAAAUUGAGUACCAAAAACCAAAUAAUCCAAAAAUGAUCCAUAACCAAUCUUGAACGAAACAGAAAAUUGCACGUUGGUGGAGUCGUGCUCAUAACGUGUUGUAGUAAAAUCAUAUAGAAGAAGGCAAAGAGGCAGAGAAUGAGAAGGAAUCUCUCCAUUAACGAAAUAUGGUGGUUAUGUCAUGGAUAAAGACCCCCGUACGAUUCGAGAUCCUGUGGCCUGGAAAAAACGGCGGGAGAAGUAAUUCGUGACCGCACAGAUGGGAGAGGGUAAUUCGGAGCCGUCCGAUUCUGUCUCCGUGCGUUCAUUGGGUUCUCUUUCUUUCUCAUAAACCCUAUACGCAACUACUCCUUCUUUAUCCGCGUGGUUUCGUGGGAGAGAUCGCUGAUUUUGUGAUGCGAUUAUAUUAUAAUCUCACAGGUCGUUCAAGAAUCCCUGAUGAUUUCACGGAUUUUCCUUUUUGAGGUCUUUGAAGCGAAAUUUGAAGGAAUCGGGAGCAGUUUUGAGAUCGAGGGAUACGGAUAAGGCUUAAGAAAGGGAUGAUGAUGGUUGUGCUGAUUGUUUUGGUUGACUAAAACUCGUGGGAAGGUAAAUCAGAAUACAUAAAUUAGGAUUUGUCAAUUGACUCUUGAAUUGAAUUAUAAACUGAGUAAUUAGUGAUGCGUUUGUUCUUAAUUGAAGAAUAGAGAAUUCUAUAGGGUUCAAUUUUAGUUUCUUUUGGAAAUUGAAAUCUUAAGUUAGGGUUUUUGUGAAUUGAAUCAGAAAUUUUGGGCAAAGUUGAAUCAGAAGGAUAAGAAGAAACAUGCUAAAACCUUAUAAUUGUUAUCUCUGCAGGGGUUUCUUAGGUCUGAAUUCGAUCUAAACUAAUGUAUUACGGUUACCAAUUAUGAUAAUAGGAUUGAAAUCUUAACUUUACGCCCAAUUUUUAUUGAUUCAAUACUUUGAAACUCACUUGUUGGGGUUGUUGUUGGUGCUGGAUGGAAAAGUGUCAUAGCUUAUGUGAACCUAGCCUGCUAUUACUUGGUCAGAAUUCCUCUUCAAAUGAUCCUCGGUUACCUUAUCGAUUUUCAAGUUACAGUAAUUUAUUUACUAAAAGUUUGUCUAUGCUAAACCAUAAAGCAAUCCUGAGUGAUAUAGCCAGCAAGUACUCUGAUGGUAAACAACGGCUGUGUGACGGUGUGAGGUCAGUCUUAUUAUCUACUUUAAGUCUCUGCACCUAUUGGAAAAAGUGCUGUUUGAAAAAUUACAGCAGAAAACGUUGCUUCCAAUGAGAUACGGUUUUCUGACUUUAAUUGGUCAAGUGUUACUUUGUUUGAAACUAACUCGAGUAUGCUAUUGUAUGUAAUGUAUAGCUUCCUUGCCUACCGAAUCCGCCACCCACCGUGGAAGACUUGAUGCAGACUUGAGUAUCAUCAAUACUUCAUUGGGAACGCCAAUUCAAAAGGGAUCGUUACCGAAUUUGUCAGUUCACGUGUACUGGAAUUUUAUUCUUUCGUAUUUUUUUCCAGCAAGAUAAUUUGUUGGAAUGUAGUGUGUAUCCUAGUUAGCAAUUCGGGAUUCGACAAACGUACGGAACGACAAACGUACGAGUAUUAUACGGUUUUGUAAAAUUCAGAUUCCCUCCAAAAUUCGGUCAACGGGACGUGAUUCAUCAGUAAUUCGGAACGGCAUACGUACGUGUAUAAUUCGAUUUAUAAAUGUGAGUUCGCUCUGAAAAUUCGGUAUCUAUAUAUGACAAAUAAUUUGUAUUUAUAAGGUCAUAGACCAAUUUUAUGCAUAUGUGUGAGUUAUUUAAAGAAAAAAUAAACUUAAUAUGAUGAUAUUAAUUAUAUAUACAACAUUAGUCAUCCAAGAGGACGUCAUAUGGUGGUUUAGAUGCUUGGUUAGUGAGUUUGAGAUCUCUCUCACCUUCACCUUCAAAUCUCUUCGGUCAUUUUUGUUUCAUAAAAAUUACAACACGUCUAAUAUUGGGUCGUGUAUGCUCGGGAGGCAGUAAAUCCCAGAGAAUAGGGUCUUUGAAAACGUAAAAGCUAAAGAAUUUAUGGAAAAUUAAGCGGACGUAUCAUUCGGGAUACGUAAAAUUCUUGAACGAUUCGCGAAUAAUCCGGGAAUGCCACAUAAUACGCGAUUUGGGUUCGGAGUUGCAAACGUUCGCGAAUAAGACUGUAAAAUUCGUGAUAACGUGAAUCAUUCGCGAACUUACUAACUAGGGUGUGUAUGAGGUUGCAACGGCCUAGAGGGCUACUGAACUAGCCUGGAAAGGAAAUUAGGAGGCAGAGAAAUUUAGGAAUUAAAAAAGAUUGGGUAUUCAGUUGAAGAGAAAUUUAGGAGGCAGAGUUUAAUCACGAAGACGAUGCAGAGGAAAGGAAGAACAAGGAAAAUCAAUUCGGAGCAAGAAAUAGAAUAUUGUAGAAAUAUGAUCUUGCUGCUGUCUUUUCAAGUCAGAGUCCGUAUAUAUGAUCAAGAGAUAUGGGGUUUGAAGUAACUAAUCGUAAAAACAAUACCACCAGUUGAAAGACACAAAGUGUUUGAAAGAAAGCCUGAACCAGGGGAAUACAUUAGUAUCCUCUGAUGUUUUCUUUUUUGACAUGUUCUACUCAGGGGAAUACAUUAGUAUCUGAUGUUGUUUGAUUAUUCAUUCCCCUGAGUCUCUCUUUCUUCCCUGUAAGAGAACUCCAUCAGCAACAACUGCAUCCAUUCUUUGUAAUUUAAAUUCCUACACCAUCUUUAUGUGUUUUUAUUUAAUCCCUUAAUUUUUUUUGUGGAUAUACUGCUUGAUUUGGAUGUUAGACUGUGCAAUGGACAAGCGCCACAGCCAGCAUUUCAUCGGUUCAUGUAUAUGUAUAGUAAUUUAGGACAGUCUGCAUUGCUAAUGUCGUAGAUCAGUUCUUUUAAACUUUGUAUAAUUGUUUGUUUAUAGGGGAAUAAUGCUUAUUCUUUUUUGCGGUUCUUCCUUGUUUAUCUGUUGUAGAUUGUAUCUCCUGGCGAAAGUUUGUUGAUUUUUUGCAGUGUUUUAGUUUGUGCUUUUGGAGGAAAAGAAAGAAGAUGAUGUAGAGGAAUAAAAGAAGAAGCUGUACAAGGAGACGUGUUGCUGAGCAUUACAGUUGGGGACACCUGAUGCAACUUUGAAUCCAUGAACUGGCUUAAUGGGUACAAGGAGAUUUGAAUCAACUUAGAAAACUAUAUUUACUAUUCUAUCUGGUUCUUUUUCAGGUUCAUGGAGCACCAGAAGAAGAAUAAAAAACCAGUUAAUCAAUGAGUUUUAAGGUUCAAUCGCAAUAAUUCGUGAAGCCUCAACAACGGCAGUUAUAUGAUAAAGAAGUAUUUAUCGUAUCACUGCACUAUUUGCAGCCAAUCCAUAAUCAGUGAAGCCUCAACAACGACAGUUAUAUGGGACCACAGAUAAUGAUAGAAAGUGGGGUUGAUGUGCUAAUGGCCGCUGCAAUGGGAGCUGAUGAGUAUUGAUUUAGUAUAGGAGGUUAUUUCCAAGGGUUCGUGGAGUCUGAUUUGGUUUGUGUUGGCAGGGAAGACAUGUGAGAUAGAAAUCGGUUUGUUGUGCUGGAAUUGAGAAAUUGCAGGUGAUGCAGGAAUGAGGAAUGUGCAGUGAUGCUCAAUGUAUUGCAGCCGCAUUUGAGUACCUGGGAUUGAAGUGGUUGAUAAUAACUGUGGAGGAGAUGAGAGAUUUGUGGUUGGGUUAGCUUCAAAGCCGGAAAUAUAGGUCAGUUGUGUGGAUCAAAUUAUAUCAGUAGAAGACACAUCGUGCCUAAUUCUUAGUUGUUCAUGGACAUUAGAGUUGGCAUAGUUGCCAGGGCAAGUAACCACAUCGUGCUCGGGACCAGGAUUUGAGGGUGAGAAUCAAGAUACGUUGUGAUUCUGAAAACUCGAGUGUGGGAUGUGACCACCAGUGCAUUAGAGUUUCCCGUAUUACAUUGCUUCUUGGUUGCUCAUAUUGCUUGAAUAAUAAGUCCUUGAGCCUCUUGAUGAAAUGUUUGUGUACCAGGCUUGCCAAUUCACAUCUAAGUGCGGUAUGUUCUCAUGGGAAUAUGAAUUUUGGUUUUCGCCAAUCCAGAUCUAAGUACGGUACGUUCUCAUGGGAAUAUGGAUUUGGUUUUCAAAGAAUAAUUUUGGAUUGUAGAAUUUGUUUAUAUGAUUUGCUCGCUCACUUGGUGUUACUUAUUGUCCCAGUGUCUUCAACUUCGUGCUAAAAAAAAAUCUCUGUGUGAAGUAUUUUUCUUUCGUGAAUCGAUGUAUGCAAUGGUUUCUUCUUCUCAGCACUUUCGUCGUUGUGAAAGUACUAUUUUUUGACAAGCUUUCGAACUAAGGUUUUGCAGGAUAUCGGGGAGCUGAUAUCUACAUCAACCCAUAUAGGCAGGCCAUUUGGUUUUAAUUAUUACUUCCUACCAAAUUCAGUGAUCUAAUGAAUUUCAUUCAUAUUUAUACCCUAUGUUUAUGAGCAUCGAUAUUUGCAUCAUGGGGAUUUGAUCUUUUAUGAAGUAGCCAUUGACAUCACCGAGAAGAUUUAUUCAAUCAAUCUCCAGAGAGAGAGAUUUUUUAUCGAUAUGGCAUCAGGAUGAGGAAUCACAAGGAACAAAGGAAGGUGUUAUGAUUUCUGGACAGAUUUCAGUGAAUGUAUGUCCAAUUGUAGAGAUCCUGGAGAUUUUUCUCUUCUUAGAGAAGAUUAUCCUGAGUGUCUUCAUCAUGCUAAAGAGGUUGUGUAGCUGGUGACGAUAAAUUGAUAUUAGGUGGUGUUGGACGUCCAGAUGAUUUAAGAGGUCCAAGAGCUGGUGGUGUAUAAGAACAGGUGGGAGAGGAAGUCAACGGGAAGUACUUGCUGGCUUCUGGUGUAUGGACAAGUCAUAUGCAGUUCAUUUAAUGACACUUUUCCAGCUGCUUCUAUCUCUUAAUAAGACAAGUCUUUUAAAUUAUGGACCUGCGGGGCAAUGGUAGCGCAUCUGACACCAGGUCAGAAGGGUACGUGUUCGAUUCACGUCAGGUCCAAUUGUCGGUAUUUAAACGUGCCCUAUCCUACAGAAAGUGGAAGUGUUAUUUUAUGUUUUGGUUGAGAUUCACGUCUUUCUCACAAGUGUUUAUCUUUCCUAGACUUUAAGUAAGUCGUACGGUAGAGUAAUUCGUUUAAUGUGGAUGCUUUUUAUGGGCUAAUGCUACAUGUCUGCCUUUUCGAGAUUGUGUCUCAGUGUCUCUACAGGAAGAAGUGGAUGCACUUAACUUCAAGUCUCAACAAACAACAACUAAAGGGCUGAACAAACAGCCACCAAUGGUAACCAUAACAUCAGCAGAAAUACACUUCAGACAAGCAACAACACAUUUGAAUAACUAAUUCAGGAUUGUCCAACAAGCCCGCAUACCUGGAGAACAUGUAUAUGUUCACACAGAACGUCUGUAGUAGGAAUUAAAGCCGAUGGUAGUGGGUAUUUAUGGUAAGAACUACCAUGAUAAUGUUGUAGUUACUACAAUUUUGUACACAAACUAAAUCAAGGACCUGUGGCGCAAUGGUAGCGCACCUGACUUCAUGUCAGAAUGGUACGUGUUUUAUUCACGUUAGGCCCAAUUGUCGCUAUUCAACCGUGUCCUACGAAUAGUUAAAGUCCUAUGAAUAGUUAAAAGUGUUGUUUCUGUUUUGGUUGAGAUACUCACUGUUUAGUUUGUUAUCUGGGUAUUUCGUAUGUAAGUUGUUGUAGAUCCUCGCAACAUUGAACGAGAAUCUAGAUUGCCUAUAAAGAAGUUGUCUGCUUCUUUGGUUGCAGAAAAGGUAUAAUUUUGGUUGAUUUUUA